rnacentral:rRNA from 1 species
GGUGAACGCUAGCGGCAGGCCUAAUACAUGCAAGUCGGACGGGAUUCAGGAGCUUGCUUCUGAUGAGAGUGGCGCACGGGUGCGUAACACGUAUGUAACCUACCUUUAUCAGGGGGAUAGCCUCUCGAAAGAGAGAUUAAGCCCGCAUAAAAUCACAGCACAGCAUUGUGUAAUGAUCAAAUAUUUAUAGGAUAAAGAUGGGCAUGCGGAACAUUAGCUAGAUGGCGGGGUAACGGCCCACCAUGGCGACGAUGUUUAGGGGAUCUGAGAGGAUGGCCCCCCACACUGGUACUGAGACACGGACCAGACUCCUACGGGAGGCAGCAGUAAGGAAUAUUGGUCAAUGGGCGGAAGCCUGAACCAGCCAUGCCGCGUGCAGGAAGACGGCCCUACGGGUUGUAAACUGCUUUUAUACGGGAAUAAACCCAGAUACGUGUAUCUGGCUGAAUGUACUGGAAGAAUAAGGAUCGGCUAACUCCGUG